rnacentral:rRNA from 1 species
AACGAACGCUGGCGGCAUGCCUAACACAUGCAAGUCGAACGAGACCUUCGGGUCUAGUGGCGCACGGGUGCGUAACGCGUGGGAAUCUGCCCUUGGGUUCGGAAUAACAGUGAGAAAUUACUGCUAAUACCGGAUGAUGUCUUCGGACCAAAGAUUUAUUGCCCAGGGAUGAGCCCGCGUAGGAUUAGCUAGUUGGUGGGGUAAUGGCCUACCAAGGCGACGAUCCUUAGCUGGUCUGAGAGGAUGAUCUGCCACACUGGGACUGAGACACGGCCCAGACUCCUACGGGAGGCAGCAGUGGGGAAUAUUGGACAAUGGGCGAAAGCCUGAUCCAGCAAUGCCGCGUGAGUGAUGAAGGCCUUAGGGUUGUAAAGCUCUUUUACCAGGGAUGAUAAUGACAGUACCUGGAGGAUAAGCUCCGGCUAACUCCGUGCCAGCAGCCGCCGUAA